rnacentral:rRNA from 1 species
AUUGAACGCUGGCGGCAGGCCUAACACAUGCAAGUCGAACGAGGGGCGGAGGGGUGAGUAAUGUCUGGGAAACUGCCUGAUGGUGGGGGAUAACUACUGGAAAUGGUAGCUAAUACCGCAUAACAUCAGAGGUGCCCAGAUGGGAUUAGCUAGUGGGUGGGGUAACGGCUCACCAAGGCGACGAUCCCUAGCUGGGCUGUGAGGAUGACCAGCGCUACGUGAACUGAGACACGGUCCAGAAUCCUACGUGAGGCAGCAGUGUGGCCUAUGGCACAAGGGGCGCAAGCCAGAUGCAGCCAUGCCGCGUGUAUGAAGAAGGCCGUCGGGUUGUAAAGUACUUUCAGCGGGGCGGCGUGACUCGCAGAAGAAGCACCGGGUAACUCCGAGCCAGCAGCCGCGGUAAUUC